rnacentral:rRNA from 1 species
AAGAGAGGAGCUUGCUCUUCUUGGAUGAGUUGCGAACGGGUGAGUAACGCGUAGGUAACCUGCCUUGUAGCGGGGGAUAACUAUUGGAAACGAUAGCUAAUACCGCAUAACAAUGGAUGACACAUGUCAUUUAUUUGAAAGGGGCAAUUGCUCCACUACAAGAUGGACCUGCGUUGUAUUAGCUAGUAGGUGAGGUAAUGGCUCACCUAGGCGACGAUACAUAGCCGACCUGAGAGGGUGAUCGGCCACACUGGGACUGAGACACGGCCCAGACUCCUACGGGAGGCAGCAGUAGGGAAUCUUCGGCAAUGGGGGCAACCCUGACCGAGCAACGCCGCGUGAGUGAAGAAGGUUUUCGGAUCGUAAAGCUCUGUUGUAAGUCAAGAACGGGUGUGAGAGUGGAAAGUUCACACUGUGACGGUAGCUUACCAGAAAGGGACGGCUAACUACGUGCCAGCAGCCGCGGUAAUACGUAGGUCCCGAGCGUUGUCCGGAUUUAUUGGGCGUAAAGCGAGCGCAGGCGGUUUGAUAAGUCUGAAGUUAAAGGCUGUGGCUCAACCAUAGUUCGCUUUGGAAACUGUCAAACUUGAGUGCAGAAGGGGAGAGUGGAAUUCCAUGUGUAGCGGUGAAAUGCGUAGAUAUAUGGAGGAACACCGGUGGCGAAAGCGGCUCUCUGGUCUGUAACUGACGCUGAGGCUCGAAAGCGUGGGGAGCGAACAGGAUUAGAUACCCUGGUAGUCCACGCCGUAAACGAUGAGUGCUAGGUGUUGGAUCCUUUCCGGGAUUCAGUGCCGCAGCUAACGCAUUAAGCACUCCGCCUGGGGAGUACGACCGCAAGGUUGAAACUCAAAGGAAUUGACGGGGGCCCGCACAAGCGGUGGAGCAUGUGGUUUAAUUCGAAGCAACGCGAAGAACCUUACCAGGUCUUGACAUCCCGAUGCUAUUUCUAGAGAUAGAAAGUUACUUCGGUACAUCGGUGACAGGUGGUGCAUGGUUGUCGUCAGCUCGUGUCGUGAGAUGUUGGGUUAAGUCCCGCAACGAGCGCAACCCCUAUUGUUAGUUGCCAUCAUUCAGUUGGGCACUCUAGCGAGACUGCCGGUAAUAAACCGGAGGAAGGUGGGGAUGACGUCAAAUCAUCAUGCCCCUUAUGACCUGGGCUACACACGUGCUACAAUGGUUGGUACAACGAGUUGCGAGUCGGUGACGGCGAGCUAAUCUCUUAAAGCCAAUCUCAGUUCGGAUUGUAGGCUGCAACUCGCCUACAUGAAGUCGGAAUCGCUAGUAAUCGCGGAUCAGCACGCCGCGGUGAAUACGUUCCCGGGCCUUGUACACACCGCCCGUCACACCACGAGAGUUUGUAACACCCGAAGUCGGUGAGGUAAUCUUUUGGAGCCAGCCGUAUAAGGUGGGACAGAU